rnacentral:lncRNA from 1 species
GGAGUCAGUGUAAAGAGAAGGCUAAGGAUAACUCGGCUCUGGAGAGUAGAGAAUAUGCCUUCUCUUCUGCCCCUCCAGGAACCUUACUUUUUUUUUUUUAAACAAAAAACAAAAACAAAAAACAAAAACCAAAAACCAAAAACCAACCACCACCUUUUAUUUAAAAGUCUAACCUUGGGAAUUUGCUGGGGAGAAGGAACUCAGUGAAUAUUGCCCUGGGUCCUGGUAAUUCCACCUACUGAAGACAACUGCCCCUUCUGCUCAUAUUUCCUGAGUCAACAUGGCCGUUCCUAACUUUGAAGAGACUUUAGACAUUCUUUGUUACAAUGAACCUAGAAGAAAGAAGAGAAAUGAAACCUGAAAGAACAGAGGUCCACUGUCAGCAUUUGCACAGGAGGAAGUAUUUCGAAGCCCCCAUCACCUCGUCUGGCCUUAUAGACCUGCUGAUGAGGAAGGCCUUCUGCUCCCCUCCCCCAACCCUCUCCUCUUUCCAUCUCUUGCCUAAAGGCUGCUCCGUUUGGGGGACUGUGCCCAAGGUGCUGCAUGGUCGACCGACCGACCCCAGAGAAAGGCAGGCAUCAUCAUCUCAGCUGCUCCCUCUGCUCUAAGGACCGGGGACUAGGAACAUUCUGGCAAGAGAAGGGAGGGGGGGCCAAGCUUGGAGUCACACAUGGCUGCAUUUCGUAUGGCAAGGCUUUCUUGUUUGUGCUUUCUUCCUAUGGAAAAAAAAAAGGCUCUGGAAGGGGCCUGGGGAGCCAGAUCAAAUGUUCAAAUGUACUGGCAGGGAGCCAAGGCUCAACUUCUCUGCCAGGAACUCCACGUUCUCAAGUCUUCACUGCUGUUGAAACUGAUCGGGAAGGUUAAUGAGAUUAAUAUGGCCAAACACUGUGGGCUUCUGGGAAGCAAACAGCCAGGUAGGGAGGCCCAGUGUUGGACCAAGGUGGCUGGAAAUAAGGUAUACAACCCACUCCUAGAAAAGCUUGAGUGUUUUUACCGGACAAUCCCUGUGCCGGGGCUGGCGAGGGAAGCGCACAGAACUCUACGUCAUUGCUGAGGGAAACAGAGUUCUAAAGUCACCAGGGAAGGAUUCCCACCUUGAAGGACUGUCAUCCUACUUGACAACCUAUUGCACUAUCCUAAUGAUUUUCAUAGUCAAGAACACUUUUCCAAAUUGCUUUUAAUUUUGAAAAAAUUAGUUAUUAAUUGAUCGAUUGUGUGUGUGUGAAGGCCACAGAGUAAUUGAUAGCAGUUGUUUCUCUUCUUCUACCUUGUGGGGCCUGGGGAUUAAACUCAAGUCUUUAUACUUGGUCAUAAGCACGCCCCCUACUGAGUCAUCUCACCUCCUGCUGGGUCACCUAACAACCUACUAAGUCACCUCACCACCUGCUGAGUCAUCUCACCAUCUACUGAGUCAGCUCACCACCUGCUGAAUCACCUCACCACCUGCUGAGUCAGCUCACCAUCUGUUGGGUCACCUCAGCACUUGCUGAGUCACCUCAUCACCUGCCAAGUCAGCUCACCAUCUGUUGGGUUACCUUACCACCUGCUGAGUCACCUCAGCACUUGCUGAGUCGCCUCACCACCUGCUGAGUCAGCUUACCACCUGCUGAGUCACUUCACUACCUGCUAAGUCACCUCACCACCUGUUGGAUCACCUCACUACCUACUGAGUUAAGUCACCACUAACUGAGUCAGCUCACCACCUGCUGAGUCACCUCAUCACCAGCUGAGUCACCUCAUUAGCCCAUUGUUUCUAAAUCCUUCUCACUCAAGUUUAAGACAUGAGCUUCCCACUGCUAAAAGAGAACAGAUGGUUACAAAAUUCUGCAUAUGAAUUCUUCGUUCUUUGGGAACAAACACACAUAAGUAUUAUGUACCUUGAAACACAUACCCACAUCCACACAACCCUGAUCCUGUGCAUCCAUUCACUGUUACACAGUGAAAAGUUCAGCAUUUCUUACCUUUUGGGUAUUUUCUUUCUUUUGAAAUAUGCGUGAUUGCCCCCAUCCCAACUCCACAGGAGGACCUCAUAGUUGGUACUGCUAACCUGGUGUAGGUUUCUAAGCCAAUGACUAGGAGGAUAGUAGACACAGGGGAGUCAGGCGGGUGGGCAGGGGUUGAAUCAGUUACUGUUGUUUUGCUAAAGGGACUACUCUCUAUCUAUGUACCCAUAGAUCACACCCUUGGUUAGAGAUGCUUUUGCUUGCCUUGGGACAUAACUGGUCCAUGUGCUGAGAAAAGGGACUCUUGGGUACUCAGCCCUAUGUGGGACAUCUGUAUAACACAUCCCCAGAGCCCAGGGAAUAUCAUGGGGGAAUAUAAGAGCUAUAGGAUGAGAAUUGGUGCUACAGAAUGCUGUUUGUGGAUAAGACAUGGCUGAUGCAUCCAUAACUCAGAGCAACAGUGGUGACUUGCUCAAGACCUUCACAAGACUGAGCUGUCAACCUUCUACCCUGGAUGGAAGACGGGAUGGUAAGAUCCCAUCCUUCCAUCGGAGCAACAGGCAAUUAAAACGUGCACAGGGAAGGAAGAACAUACUCUUUAUACUGCUGAGUCACGAUUGCAUUGCCCUCACCCAAAUAAAUGUAGGAAACCACAAUUAAAUGAGGUGAGUCAUCAAUAAACCACAAACAAACAAACAAGUAAGCAACAGACAUAAAAGUUGGAGGACUGAGGAGAAGGGAUUUAUUGGGAGGCGACAAGAGAAGACUACGACAACGGCGCAAUUUUGAUCAAAGAAUGUGCGAAACUGUAAAAAAAAAUAGUAAAUAUGUUAAAUACAUAAAAAUAAAGACAAAAAUACCACAGAUUAAGUACAAACUAACGGUUAGUUCCUCACAAGUAAUGUAUGCUAACAGUUUGCACUGUGCUUCUUAUAGUGCAGUAGUAGAUGAUGCUUACCAACUGGAUCCUUGCCUGUUGUUUUAAAGUUUAUCAGUUGGACUCCCCUCCUGGAGACAUGCAUCCUGCAUAUAAUAAAUUCUCAGAAAGAACGUGUCCA